rnacentral:misc_RNA from 1 species
GAUUCAGGAGACUUGUACACGGUCCAGUGCGGAAAACGCUUCUCCAGACUACAACUCGGACGGCCAACGGCACGCCAGAUUUUAAAUUUGAGCUCUUCCCGCUUCACUCGCAGUUACUAGGGGAAUCCUUGUUAGUUUCUUUUCCUCCGCUUAUUGAUAUGCUUAAGUUCAGCGGGUAGUCCUACCUGACUUGAGAUCAAAUGUUCAUGCAUCCGUCCACCGUAAAGGCAGGGGAAGAUGGUUAUAAGCUGGCAGCAUCCCACGUUCCUGCAGGAGAUUUCUGCCGUGACCCAUGGGGUAGAUUGCUUAUCACACCAUAGAAGCCAACGACGUCCACUGACCGGCUAAUGAAUUCAAGAGGAGCCAGCUUCAACAGCUGGCAAGAGGCCUCCAAAAUCCAAGCCCACACCGUGGCUGUAAAAAGCCUGGGUGGGUUGAGAUGUUCAUGAUACUCAAACAGGCAUGCCCUUUGGAAUACCAAAGGGCGCAAGUUGCGUUCAAAGAUUCGAUGAUUCACUGAAUUCUGCAAUUCACAUUACUUAUCGCAUUUCGCUGCGUUCUUCAUCGAUGCGAGAGCCAAGAGAUCCGUUGCUGAAAGUUGUUUUAUUACUCUGCGCUCACAUGCGCCAAGUUGACGUUCUGUACAGAGGGUGUUUAUAAAGAGACGUAGCACCAGAUCAUGAGGGGCCUCAGAGACCCUCCCCCAAUCAGGGCACUACAAAGGGUGCACAGGUGUGAAUGGAUGUGAGGAGGGCGUGCACAUGCGAUCUCAGAUGUGAGAAGGCCAGCAACAGCCCCCCUUCAACAAUUCAAUAAUGAUCCUUCCGCAGGUUCACCUACGGAAACCUUGUUACGACUUUUACUUCCUCUAAAAUGACCAAGAAU